AAACAUGAAGCUGUCAAGACUCGGGAAGAAUGAGAGUUUCUUUGCACUCAUUUUUCUAGUGAAAAGUUUAAGGCAACACAGACUGGAGAGAUGCAAGGUGCAAUUGAUCGUUUUGAAACAGAGUAUAGAAGUACAAAAAAAGGAUGGGACUUGGGAGCAAAGGAAAAAUGGGAACAAAUGAUAAAGAUGCGAGCAGAUACCACUCAACCUGAUGGAACUCGAACAAUGACAGAUGAGAAAAUUUGUGCAAAAGUUCUCAAAGUCAAAUGA